rnacentral:sRNA from 1 species
GCCAGGCAUGGUGGUGCAUGCCUAUAAUCCCAACAACUCAGAAGGCUGAGUCAGGUGGAUUUCAAGUUUGAGGCCAGACUGGGCAUCUUAGCAACACCUUCAGCAACUUGGUGAGAUCCUGUCUCAA